UACGGGGGGAGCAAGCGUUGUUCGGAUUUACUGGGCGUAAAGGGCGCGUAGGCGGCCACCGCAAGUCGGUUGUGAAAUCUCUGGGCUUAACCCAGAGGCUGCUUCCAAAACUGCUGUGCUUGAGUGUGGGAGAGGCGCGUGGAAUUGCAGGUGUAGCGGUGAAAUGCGUAGAUAUCUGCAGGAACACCCGUGGCGAAAGCGGCGCGCUGGACCACUACUGACGCUGAGGAACGAAAGCUAGGGGAGCAAACAGG
rnacentral:rRNA from 1 species